rnacentral:pre_miRNA from 1 species
CAACGUUCGGCAGCCGAACUUCUCCUUCGGCGGGCGAAACCAUACAAUGUUCGGCAGCCGAACUUUGUAUGGUUUCGCCCGCCGAAGGAGAAGUUCGGCUGCCGAACGUUG